UCUGUGGCUCAGUCGGUAGAGCGCGUGCUUAAUAAGCUCAAGGUCGCAGGUUCGAUCCCUG
rnacentral:tRNA from 1 species